GAACGCUGGCGGCAGGCCUAACACAUGCAAGUCGAACGGUAACAGGAAGCAGCUUGCUGCUUYGCUGACGAGUGGCGGACGGGUGAGUAAUGUCUGGGAAACUGCCUGAUGGAGGGGGAUAACUACUGGAAACGGUGGCUAAUACCGCAUAACGUCGCAAGACCAAAGAGGGGGACCUUCGGGCCUCUUGCCAUCAGAUGUGCCCAGAUGGGAUUAGCUUGUUGGUGAGGUAACGGCUCACCAAGGCGACGAUCCCUAGCUGGUCUGAGAGGAUGACCAGCCACACUGGAACUGAGACACGGUCCAGACUCCUACGGGAGGCAGCAGUGGGGAAUAUUGCACAAUGGGCGCAAGCCUGAUGCAGCCAUGCCGCGUGUAUGAAGAAGGCCUUCGGGUUGUAAAGUACUUUCAGCGGGGAGGAAGGUGUUGUGGUUAAUAACCGCAGCAAUUGACGUUACCCGCAGAAGAAGCACCGGCUAACUCCGU
rnacentral:rRNA from 1 species